rnacentral:rRNA from 1 species
GACGAACGCUGGCGGCGUGCUUAACACAUGCAAGUCGAACGGAAAGGCCCUGCUUUUGUGGGGUGCUCGAGUGGCGAACGGGUGAGUAGCACGUGAGUAACCUGCCCUUGACUUUGGGAUAACUUCAGGAAACUGGGGCUAAUACCGGAUAGGAGCUCCUGCUGCAUGGUGGGGGUUGGAAAGUUUCGGCGGUUGGGGAUGGACUCGCGGCUUAUCAGCUUGUUGGUGGGGUAGUGGCUUACCAAGGCUUUGACGGGUAGCCGGCCUGAGAGGGUGACCGGACAAAUUGGGACUGAGAUACGGCCCAGACUCCUACGGGAGGCAGCAGUGGAGAAUAUUGCACAAUGGGCGGAAGCCUGAUGCAGCAACGCCGCGUGCGGGAUGACGGCCUUCGGGUUGUAAACCGCUUUCGCCUGUGACGAAGCGUGAGUGACGGUAAUGGGUAAAGAAGCACCGGCUAACUACGUG